UUUUUAAAUUUUCCCAAAGCAUCAAAAGAAAGGCAGACUGCCACAUGCAGCGCCUCAUUUGGGUGUGUCUGGAGUCUUGGAAGCUUGAUUACCCUACAUUCUCCUACAAAUGGAUCUUGAG